CUUAGCUCUAAACUGCAAAGCUGGCCCGUUUUUCAAGGUUUCCCAUUUAGGGCCCCACAGAUUCCUAUAAAGAUUCUGAACAUACACAUCACCUCAGAAAGUUCCCUUGUCAGAUCAGCCUUUGCUCUUAAGGGAACUACUCUUCUAGUUAUUUUCUACUAUGAGUUGAUUUUGUCUCUUCUUGGACUUCGUAUACUUGGAAUCUCACAAUAUGCACUCUUUUGGCCAAUCCGCAGCAAUCCUAGGCAGAGACUUGCUUGGCCGGAGCCGAAAGGGAUUUUGUAGAUGCAGUUUACAGCAACGACAACAGAAUAUCAGAGUGUAAAGACCAGAUCAAGAGUUGAAAUACCAGGACUCUCCAGGAUCACAAACAAAUGUGGACCUUCCCAGUCAACAGAUGGAAAUGUAAGUAGCAGAAGCCAGCCCUUUGCAGUAGAGCUGUGGUAUCUCCACUCCGAAGCAGGGAUGCAGCUAAACGGGCUGUGUGCCAGGACACAGAUGCUAGGAGGGAAGCCGAAGUGGUACCGCAAGUGUGAUGCUGGACCAGCCUUUGAUACAGUGGACAUAUGACUCACUGAGAUGCUGUGCGCGUCGACUCUGCCCUGGUCCCUUCGGGUUCAAGAAUUGUGUGUGUGUAUUGGAAAGAGUGGAACGGGCAGGUGGAAUCUGCAGAGAAGUUGGGAGGAGCGGAAGAAAACCAGUUCUGAGUCCUCUCUUUUCCAAUUCUUCCUUCCAAUCUAAGCCCUCACGUUCCUCAACCUGCCCAUCACCAGAUGAAUUAUUCUAAAGAGAAAGAAAUCGGUGAGAGACAAAGUGAUGGGUUUGAUUUAUUUAUAGAGAAACAGACCAAAGUUUUGUAGGCCAUAUUAGAAGGUGAGUAAACAAAGAUCUCCAAAUAGGGCGUGGUUAGUUUUGAUAGGCUUGAUAAUUU
ensembl:lncRNA